GAGGGUGGAGCUCAGUGGUAGAGUGCAAUGCCUAGCAUGCAUAAGGUGCUGGGUUCAAUUCCCAGUACCUCUA
rnacentral:tRNA from 1 species